rnacentral:rRNA from 1 species
AWCGAACGCUGGCGGCGUGCCUAAUACAUGCAAGUYGAGCGAGAAGGGGAGCAAUCCCCGAGUAAAGCGGCAGACGGGUGAGUAACACGUGGGUAAUCUACCCCGAGCGGGGAAUAACAUCUCGAAAGAKGUGCUAAUACCCCAUGACAUCCUCGGGCCUCCGKCUCGGGGAUCAAAGGUGGGGAUCUUCGGACCUGCCACUUGAGGAGGAGCCCGCKCCUAUUAGCUAGUUGGUGGGGUAACGGCCUACCAAGGCGACGAUCAGUAGCCGGCCUGAGAGGUGAACGGCCACACUGGAACUGAGACACGGUCCAGACUCCUACGGGAGGCAGCAGUGAGAAUUUUGCGCAAUGGGCGAAAGCCUGACGCAGCAACGCCGCGUGGACGAUGAAGGUCUUGGAUUGUAAAGUCCUGUCGAGUGGGAAGAAGAAUGUGGGGGCGAAUACCCCCUGCAUGAACUGUACCACCAGAGGUUGCCCCGGCUAACUCCGUGCCAGCAGCCGCGGUAAUACGGAGGGGCUAGCGUUGUUCGGUAUUAUUGGGCGUAAAGGGCGCGUAGGCKGCCGAAUAAGUCAACGUGAAAUCCCCCGGCCCAACCGGGGAACUGCGUCUGAAACUGCUCGGCUCGAGUCCGGAGHKKGUAGUGGAAUUCCCAGUGUAGCGGUGAAAUCGUAGAUAUUGGAGAACACCGGUCGAAGCGCUCC